AGAAAAUAUUAAAGAAGGUGAGUAUCAGAAUGAAUUAAGAUGUGUUAAUCAUGCCUUGGAAAAAUAGUUUGAAAUGGACUGUGUCUUUACUCUUCAUUAAAGCUGCCAUGCAGUGAGCAAUUUCCCCACCAAGUAUUCCUGUCAUGCUGUCCUGUGCUGCCGCAAGCACAGCACAACAGCAACAACUGGCCAGGCAAAGCAGGGAAGUGCCAGAAAAGGAGAUUUCUUGGCCUGAUGUAAAAAUCAUAAAAUGGAGUGGGCAAGCUGUCCAAUGCCAACCCUGUGUCAUCCUCAACUACAAGGUGACUGGGUCCAGAGAAAACAGGAUAAUAAUGUAUCUUCCUGUUAUUGAACACUAAAGACUCCAUCAAAAGACUGUCAUUUAGGAAAAAUAGCAUCUCAAAGAUGUCUUCAAGGUGGAGAAAAGUAUGUUCAAGAAGAUAUAGGAACUGGCCUCAUUUCUUUGUUAGUAGACUAAAGGAUGACUAUCUGAAGGAUCAAUCAAACAUGACUGUAUUUUCCUUCCUGUUUCCUUCUUAGUAGAUCUGUGUCAAUCUCUAGACUCAUUUGCCAGAGAAUAAAGAACA